AUGAACAUUAAUUUAUAUCACAAGGAGGCAGGUACGUUUCGAUGCAACGUGAUGGUUACAAGGGUUUCGCAUUUGAAAAAAUGGUGGGCCACCUUCUGUACAGACUGCCACUAUAUGCCCAUGCCAGCUGCGACGUCACUCACUCAGCCUGAUGUAUAUACAUGUGGACGUCGUAGCUGUUCAUGUACCAGUGCAACAGUCGGGUACACAUUAUGUGUCCUUGCAAAAGACCGAAGCGGAGAAGCCGAGUUUGAGUUGUUUGGAGCAAAAGGGCAGCAGAUUGUCGGUCGAUCUGCUGGCCAGGUCAUUCGCAACAACAUGCGUCAUGACCCUACUAUUCACAAUGUUCAUGUGGCGGCCUCGAUGGUCAGGAAAAUUCCUCCUGAACUUUUAGGCUUGCUUGGCAUGAAAUGCACGUUUCAUGUUCGUGCGUCGUCUGACGGCUUCUUUGGAAGGUGGCCGGCGUUUCAUGUCGAUGCUAUUGAAUCAUUCGAGGCUCUGAAGACCAACCUCUCUGUCAUGGAUCUGCUUACCCCAUCGUGA
rnacentral:rRNA from 1 species